CACGUAGGGUGCGAGCGUUGUCCGGAAUUAUUGGGCGUAAAGAGCUCGUAGGCGGUGUGUCGCGUCGGCCGUGAAAACCUGCAGCUUAACUGUGGGCGUGCGGUCGAUACGGGCAUCACUGGAGUUCGGCAGGGGAGACUGGAAUUCCUGGUGUAGCGGUGAAAUGCGUAGAUAUCUGGAGGAACACCGGUGGCGAAGGCGGCAUCCUGGACCAUUACUGACGCUGAGGAGCGAAAGCCAGGGGAGCAAACGGG
rnacentral:rRNA from 1 species